UCCGAGUUGACCCCGGCAGUCUCCGAUGAGUCCCCGGCAUAACCCGCUGGCAACAUCGGACAAGGGUUGCGCUCGUUGCGGGACUUAACCCAACAUCUCACGACACGAGCUGACGACAGCCAUGCACCACCUGUGACCGCCCCCGAAGGACACCACAUCUCUGCGGCUUUAACGGCCAUGUCAAACCCAGGUAAGGUGGGGAUGACGU
rnacentral:misc_RNA from 1 species